CUCUUCUCGUAGUUCUAUUCAGAACUAAUAUCUCAGAGAAGCAGGGAAAAAAAAAAAGAAAAAAAAAACAAUACAAAAGUACAAGAGCUAAUGUACAUUCAACUUAUCUUUAUGCCACAUAAUGCAGAAGUGACUAUUCAGAUUUUUCUUCCUAGCCAUCUUAAGAAGCCAACUUCUGUACAGCACAGAGUGCUAUAAAAAUGUUAGCAAGAAUUUUCUUUCUCUAAGGAUCUUUGCUGUUGACCUUCUUCACAUAUGCUUGGCAUUUUCAUCCAUCUGCUUUUGGAUAUACUAACACAUGAGUCAUAAAAAUGUUCUAAAGCAGCCCACCUGCCAAUUUGCUAGGUGUACUUUUCUGAAAGCAGAAAAGGUUGAAAUCAAGGGUUCACACCUGCAGAAAAGGCUAAAAGACUAAUUCAAAGUCUUAUGUGACAUCAGAAGAACAAACAAAAUAUCAGAAAUAUCAUGUUGUACAGACAGCAUCACAUGGAAAUAUAAACUUGUCUGGUAUCAUACAAAAUUAAACCUAUAUUUGAAAGAUGAGAGAAUAAGAUGAAUUAAAAAUGUGAUUUAUGUAUUUAUUUAUUCAUUUAUUUAUUAUUAUUCAUGUUUGAUUAUUUAAUGAAAUCUUUUUUUUUCCAUUGCCACUUGCUUUUUCUCAUAGUUUUCUAUUGAUUGAUGAUUAUAAAACAUUACUAGGUGCUAACUUGACACCUCAGGAAAGCACCAGUGUACAGUCGUGUUUGGUUUUGUACCCGUGACCUGGUGCUGGAUUAAUUUAUUAUACAUAAAUAGGAAGUUUUUUCUAUGAUACUGGUCUCAUGGGAUUACUAUAAUGACUUAGAUCAAUUUAUGAUGAUACUUUGAAUUCUAUAUAUGUCACCUUUCAUGUGCUUUAUUUUUUUACUCUACAGAAG
rnacentral:lncRNA from 1 species